CACCAGGUUGAUUCUGCCUGACGUAGACGCUAUUCCCUAAGAUUAACCCAUGCAUGUUUUUGACAUUUGAAAAAAUGGACUGCUCAGUAAUACUCACUUUAUUUUAUGUAAAUUUUUAAUUAACUACGUUAAAGUGUAGAUAAGAUGUUUACAGUAAGAGUGAGACCUAUCAGCUAGUUGUUAAGGUAAUGGCUUAACAAGGCUGUGACGGGUAACGGUAUUACUUUGUAAUAUUCCGGAGAAGGAGCCUGAGAGACGGCUACUAAGUCUAAGGAUUGCAGCAGGGGCGAAACUUGACCUAUGGAUUUUAUCUGAGGCAGUUAUGGGAAGUAAUAUUAUAUUGUUUCAUAUUUUAAAAGUAUAUGAGGUGAUUAAUUGGAGGGCAAAUCAAGUGCCAGCAGCCGCGG
rnacentral:rRNA from 1 species